rnacentral:rRNA from 1 species
GAUGAACGCUAGCGGCAGGCUUAACACAUGCAAGUCGAGGGACCGGCAGAAGGGUGCGUAACACGUGAGCAACCUGCCCGUGACAGGGGGAUAACCGACGGAAACGUCGCCUAAUACCCCGUAGUCACGGAUGGGCUCGCGGUACAUUAGCUGGUUGGCGGGGUAACGGCCCACCAAGGCGACGAUGUAUAGGGGUUCUGAAGGAAGGUCCCCCACACUGGAACUGAGACACGGUCCAGACUCCUACGGGAGGCAGCAGUGAGGAAUAUUGGACAAUGGAGGCAACUCUGAUCCAGCCAUGCCGCGUGAAGGAAUAAGGCCUAUGGGUCGUAAACUUCUUUUGACGCAGAGCGAGUAUGCGUCGAAUAAGCAUCGGCUAACUCCGUGCCAGCAGCCGCGGUAAUACGGAGGAUGCGAGCGUUAUCCGGAUUUAUUGGGUUUAAAGGGUGCGUAGGCUGAAGAUCAAGUCGGCGGUGAAAUGUCCCGGCUCAACCGGGGCCUUGCCGUUGAAACUGGUCAUCUGGAAUGCGGAUGCCGUGGGAGGAAUGUGUGGUGUAGCGGUGAAAUGCAUAGAUAUCACACAGAACACCGAUUGCGAAGGCAUCUCACGAAUCCGCAAUUGACGCUGAGGCACGAAAGCGUGGGGAUCAAACAGGAUUAGAUACCCUGGUAGUCCACGCAGUAAACAUGAUGACUAACUGCCGGCCGGUGGCCAAGCGAAAGCGAUAAGUCAUCCACCUGGGGAGUACGACCGCAAGGUUGCAACUCAAAUGAA